AGUGAACGCUGGCGGUAGGCCUAACACAUGCAAGUCGAACGGCAGCACAGUAAGAGCUUGCUCUUACGGGUGGCGAGUGGCGGACGGGUGCGGAAUACAUCGGAAUCUACUUUUUCGUGGGGGAUAACGCAGGGAAACUUACGCCAAUACCGCAUACGACCUACGGGUGAAAGCAGGGGAUCUUCGGACCUUGCGCGAUUGAAUGAGCCGAUGUCGGAUUAGCUAGUUGGCGGGGUAAAGGCGCACCAAGGCGACGAUCCGUAGCUGGUCUGAGAGGAUGAUCAGCCACACUGGAACUGAGACACGGUCCAGACUCCUACGGGAGGCAGCAGUGGGGAAUAUUGGACAAUGGGCGAAAGCCUGAUCCAGCCAUACCGCGUGGGUGAAGAAGGCCUUCGGGUUGUAAAGCCCUUUUGUUGGGAAAGAAAAGCAGCAGGUUAAUACCCCGCUGUUCUGACGGUACCCAAAGAAUAAGCACCGGCUAACUUCGUG
rnacentral:rRNA from 1 species